rnacentral:pre_miRNA from 1 species
AGUGGAAUUACUGUGUUGUAUGGUAACUCUGUGUUUAACUUUUUGAGGAAUUGUCAAAUUGUUUUCCAAAGUAGUUGUACCAUUUUACACUUCCGCCAGUAAU